CUCGUCGCCGGAAAACGCGAAUUUCAGGCCGAUCCUUGUCUGAGCUUCCAGUCGAUCGUUCUCUCUCCUCCGAGCACUAUUUCAGACGGGUGAGGUAUUUCGACUGCACGCACGCAGCAAGCAGGACCUUCACGUGGUCAGGCAGCGAGGGAAUACUUCCAGUAGUUGCUCCUGGAAGUACAAGUGGUGUCUGCAGCGGAGUCAGUGCAUCUUUAUAAUUAAGAACUGUGUAAAUUCUUAUACUCAACUGUUCUUGUAAUCUAAAUUCAGUAGAUGCUCUGUAUGCCAUGGUAGAUUUUACUUGUGAGGCCGGAGGCCACUCUAGUAUGACUUGUGUGUGUAUGAAAGCAUGCUGCUGGUUGGGAUUAGUAUUACUGUGUGUUGCAGGUUGAAUAAAUUUUGUUGGGAUUGCUUAAA